rnacentral:lncRNA from 10 species
GGAAGUGACUGUAGGUUUAGAUGAAUGGAAAAUGAACUUGCCAGUUCACAGCUAUGUCCUUCCCAAUUUAGGAGGUUAAGGGCAGGAAAAACAUGAGAAACUCUUUUGAGAAGCUGCACAAGCUGACAUGGAGGAUCAAGGAUUUCAAAAGCUUUGAAUAUAAAGAGGUGUCAGACUUACAUCAGAGCCUGAGACUUGACAUGCCUAUUUUUGCACUCGCUCAUUUUUCAAAUUUCAUAGGCAUUGCUCCCUCCAAAUCACCGCUCUUCUAAUUUUAUCCUGGAGUGUGCAUCCCAGAAGACAUAAGCUGACACAAUUGGGAACUGAAGUUGCUUGAAAAAGCUGGUGGUAAGAUUAGACUCUAGACAGCUUAUACGUAUUUGGACAAGGCAACGUGAUGAAGAAAUAAUAUAAUUGUAGGAUCACCUCUGUCCAGUAGCUGUUAUCCAACAUCUGCAUACUUAGAUUUCUGGAGAGCCCUAUGCCUUCACAAGAACAAGUUCCCACACCAGGGUCAAGAAGGAAACCGUAAGUCAAGACAAAAGUGCCCAGUGAAGGCAGAAGAUGAGGGGUCUCAGGUUGCAUCUUCGGAGGCACGAGGAUUCAAAGGUGAACAAAGCACACAGUACAUCAUUUGAUGUGCCAUUUUAUCUGACUGAAAGAUUAUAGAAAUAUGUGCACAACUGGACUGAAUACUUGAUUGUAUAGUUAACUCAUAGUGAUGCCAGCCUCUAAAAUGGCUUACAUGAUGAAAUGAAGAAGUAUCUCUGCUAUAAAGGCUUUGGAGUAAUGUAUUUGUGACCAUAUUUGUUCAUGUUUGUAACAACAUCAGACUAAAAUGGAGAGUUCUGAUCGGCUGCACAAUAACCACUGU